rnacentral:lncRNA from 1 species
CAUUCUCCUUAGCUCUCUUUGGUUAGAUGUCUCGCUCGUUGUCUGCACCGCUUAGAUGGCAGGCUUCAGGAACAUGGCCACACAGCCCGAAAGACACACAACAACCCUGUGAUCCUGGCCAUGAAAGCCUUCGACAACACAUUUUCCAUGCAAUGUUUUGUUGUGCCAGCUCUAGUUUGUAGUGCGGUUUUCUUGUACUGGUUUUUUUGUCUGCUGUGCUUUGAGGAGUUUCUGAUUUUUGACUUCAAUCAAAGCAGGUUCUUCACUAUUAUUAUUAUUAUUAUUAUUAUUAUUAUUAUUAUUAUUAUUAUUAUUAUUAGGGUUCAAGGAAAUAUCAUAGGGAAACACAGUGAGGUCGAGAUCCUUCCCUAAACCAUUUUUCUCUUUAGUUUAAAAUGAAGGAGAAAAAACGCUUUUGCUUUCCAGAAGGAAAAUUCCUAAACCCGAGACGCUUGAUAAGUGACGGCGGCCAAGGUGCAUUUGGAAGAGAAUGCGGGUAUUGACAAACUUAAAGGAUUAGAUGAUUGUGAGUUUUGGGAGGAAGAACGUUGCUCUAUUUUGGAGGGCAAUUUUGUGUAACUCAGAACUUUAAUACAUGGAAAAUGGCCUCAUUGAGGCUAAUGAAACUGACAUCUGGUGCUUGGAAUGAGCCAAGUUAUGCUCGGGCGGAGGUCACAAGGUGAGUUGCCGAGUCAGUAAAUGAAACGGGCCCAGAGAUCACAUGGACGGCGGAUCACAUUUCUGAACAUGUCAGGUUGACGUCUCAUCAUACACAAAUCACCACUGUUCUAAAUGAGUUGUAAUAGGCAGCUCACUUUGAAUGGUGGGGCUUUAACAGGCUGCCUUUCUCCAAGGGGACAAUCUUUGGUUUUCUAAGAGCGACGAGAGAUACCUUUUCUUUCCUUUCUUUUUUUAAGGUGCUUAGCUGGAAUGGCAACAGGUAACAAGUCAGAACUGAUUAUCACCGGACAAAGAGCUACCAGAACUAAAUAAAGGGGCUAUUUUAAUGCAAUUUAUUUACUAUAUUUCUAUCCCACUCUCGCUCACCCCAAAGGGGACUCAGAGUGGCUUCCAAAUUGGCAAUAAUUCAGUGCCAAACAAACAUAAACAAUCAAAUACAAUAUACAUUAAAAUCAGUAAAAAAUUAAAAAAUCAUAGCAUAUCUAUAUCUAUAUAUAUAAAAGAGUGAUGGCAUCACGGCGACCCACAAAACAACAAAACUACAGGCCCCCCAACCUCGAAAUUUGACAACACAACCCAUCAUCCACAGCUCUAGGUUGAUACAACAAAAAGAAAAGAAAAAUAAAGUCCUAAUUAGUGAGAGAGGAAUAAUUGCUUUUAUCCAAUUGCUGCCAGUUAGAAGGCUAAGCUCCUCCAACUUGGUCUCCUAGCAACCCAAUAAAAAAUAAUAAAAAACACUAAAAAAAUAAUUAAAAACACUAAAAAAAAUUAAUACAACAAAAUACUAUAAUAACAGAAAAUAACUUAAAAUAAGACAAUAAAAUAAUACAAUAUAAAAAAUAAAAAGAUAACUUACAAUAAAAUUAAUU